rnacentral:rRNA from 1 species
AUGGAACGGAAAGAGGUCAUGGACCUCGGCAGCGGCGAGCCCAAGGAGAUCAUGGACCUCAUCAGCGGCAAGCCGAUGGAGACCAUAGGCCUCGGCAGCGGCAAGGUCGAGGACUAUCCCUCCGUGAGGCGGCUCCGCAACCGGCGGCUCCUCCUCUACCUCCGGCUCCAGGGCUUCGACACUGCCUACGAUAGCGUUGUGCGCGAGUCGGGUGUGCAGAUGAGCAAGCUACAUCUGCGGCAGCUGCUGAUCUGGGGCCGGUGGAGCGAAGCCCUCAACUACAUCAGGCGCUUCCUGCCGCCGGCGUCCAAAGACCGUGGCCGCGAGGCCCGUUCCCUCCUCUUCUUCCUCAACAUGCUCUGGGCCCUGGACAACGUCGCCGCGUGCUCCAAGAGCGGCCUCGUGAGCGACUCUGCGCACCGCGACCUCCGCUUCCUGACGUCCCUCUGCAGUCGCAGCGCCAAGCUCCCCUCCAUCCUCCGAUACACGCUCCAGCCGCCGCAGUUCAGGGAGUCUCUGGACUGGAUGCUGGUGAGGGAGAAGGCAUCGUUGAUUGUCGAAGCCUGGGCUCUUGACACUCCGGAAUUGAGGCGCAACUUACAAUUGCCUGCCGGCCCAGGUCUCCCGCGGGACGUGCUUCCCAUCGGUCCCAGUCGUCCAAGGCGCCACCGGAGGGAACGAUACCGGCGGGCAAAAGCAUCUACAAUUGCCAAGUCCUAUCUCAACAGGAAGAGGAGCCUGCUGUCUUCAAGUCCACCUCCUGGAUUGCUUGAUGAUGCACUCAACUGGAUGGCUGAUCUUAUUGAGGGAUGUUUAAAAGCUGGUAAAAUUCCGGAGCUCCAUCAAGAGCUGCCACUUCAGUCAAAUGGAAAUGAAGGUGCUUCUGGUUCUCCACUUUUGCAGACCAUGUUUAGUACCGUGACAAAUCCUUCUAAAAACCCUGGGAUCUCAUCAGUGACAAAUGCAGGUGUUCCAAGUUGCACAGGUAGGCCUAAAUGUACUUGGUGCUCAUCAGUUGCAUUUUCAGGUGGUGCAAUCUCACAGCCUUUUAGAACACCUUGGAUCACAUCUGCCUCAAAUGCAGGCCCAAUCAAGCAUUCUGUUGGAAGGAAAAGGAAUUCAGGAGAAGUUUUGGUCACUGCCGAGGAAGAUAAUCCUGAUAGGAAAAGGCAACUGACUGAACUGGAGUUGGUGACUGAAGUGGAAGCUGGAUCUUGCAGCGCCAACUUGAUGGCUAACUGA